AGGUUCCUGGGCAGAACGGAGAAGGCUUAGAGACCAGUGGCUUCAUCAGCUGCACUUCACCUGUCACCUCUCCCAGCCUUGGGAGACUCUGGGCUGGAGGCCAGGCCACCAGGUGACUGGCCUGUGUGCCAUUAUAGUCUGGCUCUAUCGCCGUGUGCCACGGAGGCACGGACGCGUGCUCUCUCUGAACCUGGGUUUCCUCAGGAGGAAGGUGAACGUCAGCGUCAGGAAAAGGAGGCUGUUUCCUCACGGUUUCGAAAUGGGGACUUUUGAGCCUGUGAGGCGAACGUGGUAACCGCUACGCUACAGAAACGGGACAGGCCUCGGUCUCUAACCGUCGGUCCUGGAGUCUUAGGUGGCGCUGCAAGGGUUCUGGCUACCCCCUUGUUUAACUGCAAAAGGCCCUGGAAGCACCAGCGAUCACUCGGGCGAGGAGACUACGGCUCCCGAGAAGUUCCCGCUCGCGGAGGCUUCAGGAGCCAGCGGGUUGGAUCUGACCAGGUAAUUUUGCAACUGAGCAACUAAUUUAGUAUGCAGAUACAUGCCAAUCUAUUGGGUUCUGGUCACAACUAUGGAAAGGAGCAGAGGUCUGGUACACCUUGAUAGAGAAGCAACUGGCUGCUGUGUACCACACUGCUGGCUAUAUGGAGGCCAUUGCUGGAAGAGCUCCAACUAAGGUAAUAACCACCUAUCCCAUCACAGGGUGUGUGCGAGACUGGACCUGAAGGCCAUGGAGUGGUGUGGCACAGACACCUACACUGGCCAAUGGGGUCACAUAUUUAUAGCAGCAUAGUGCCCUCUCUAGUAGCCCCUUAAGUGGAGAACUCCAAUGCUUUUUGGGGCCAGUGACCUAUACCAGUAGAAAGCAGGAUGAAAUUACUUUUAAGCCCUUCAUAGCUGAGACUUUUCAUCAGGAGGGAAAAGCCCCUAUACCCAAAGAUGCUUGGUACACAGACGGCUCCAGUUGUGGGCAGCCCACAAAGUGGAGGGCUAUGGCUUUCCAUCCUAAGACUGAAACAAUAUGGAUGGAGGAUGGAGAGAGAAAAAAGAGUCAGUGGGCUGAGUUGCAGGCAGUAUGGCUCGUGAUCACCGAGGAGCCUUCCCCCAUAGUUGUCUGCACUGACAGCUGGGCCAUCUGUCACGGUUUGAUCCUGUGGCUACUGACCUCCUGUAGCCCUAUAUAUCAACCCAUCUGUAACUCCCACAGGGAGGGGGCUGAAAGUCUGCUAUACUAGACCAGGGCGAGAUUCCAUUCCUGCCACUUUUAUCAUAAGACCACUCUCUUGUAUGUGUCCUACCUGACGAACAAGAUUUGCUAGUGUCAGUAAAACAUGUACCUUAUCCUUAAGGUUAUUUUCUUCUACAGUUCUUGUGGCCUGAAUGCGCCCCCUCACUGCAACUGCCGCAUGAUGAUUCCUCUGAACACUCAGAUCUGGACUUAGUCUUCAUGGGACUUUGAACCUAGCUGAAUCCUCAGGCUUAAAGAUUGUCAUAAUUUUAUUGCUGUUGCUAUUGUUAUGUCAUUAAUCUGGUCACAAUGCUCCAGUUUUCUCACUCAGGGACCAUUGUGGAAGAAGGGGAAAUGAGUAGAUUGUAAGGCGAGAUUUCUGGAGGGGUGCCCUGUGAGUAAAAUUGUAACAUUUCCAGAAUAUCUGGCCUGGAUUUAGUUCAUUUGCAUAUCCUCACGGGUGGAUCGUUCAUCUCCAUAUCAAUGGGUAAUUACCUGGGCAACUAGUUGGUGUCUGAACCUGAUAUUUUAAAGGGAGGGGCUGAUUUGCUUGCUUGCUUCCUCAGGAGCAGAGAGAGAGGGCCCUGGACUGUAGUUUGUAAGCAAUAAAUGGUUUUUAAACUUUAUUUCUCCCUUUGACUAAUUUCGGUUUUUAGAAGUAUUUUGCCCUGGGAUUUCCUCUCCCCAUUGAGCUACAAGGUUAAAUAUAGAUGCUUUUAUUUCUGUAAGAUAGCUUCUGCUAUGGGUUGAAGCAUGUUCCCGCAAUUUCACAUGUCGAAUGCCUAACACCCAAAGUGAUAGUAUUUGGAAAUGGGGCCUUUGCAAGGUAAUUCAUUUUAUAUAAGAUCAUAGGGGUGGGACACUUGUGAUGGAAUUAGUGCCCUUAAAAGAAGUGAUAACAGAACACUUUCUCUCUGUCUCCUUCCUUCCUUUCCUCCCUCUCUCCUCUCUCAUUCCACCCAUCACAGCUAGAAGGAAGCCAAGAAGAGAGCUCUCACAAGAAACUGGCCAUGCUGACACUCUGAUCUUGGACUUUCACCCUCCAGAACUGUGAGAAAAUAAAUUUCUGUUGUGUAAGCCACCCAGUUUAUGCUAUUUUGUUUCAGAAGCGCUAGCUGACCAAUACAGAUUGUGAAAAGCAGAAGUACUUGUUUAAAAGGAAUGUUUAUAUUUCAUUUGAAUAAACGUUGAAAUUUAUAUUUCUGAAAGUUUAUUACAAAAAUAUGCCCUCAUAUGCACAUCGACAUAAGAUUAUUUUAUGCAGGAAAGAAAUCUACAAAUGUCUAUGGUUGAUUUCCACAUAUAAUCAUCUCUCAAGAAGUAGCAGAAUAAUACUGACAUUUUGUCUUGA